GAAAGGUUGCCUAGAAAUCUCAGAUAAUCCAUUCGGUGUUCAGAAGUGGGAUAGGGAAGACAGGAAACUGUGGGUGAGUUUGUCUUGCUGGAGCUGGGGAUAUUCACAUUGAGACAAAGAAAGGAGUGUUCUUUGGAAGCCUCAUGAAUGCUCACUCAAAGGCACACUGCCACGCAGCUAUUUUAUAAAUGCGGAUAAAGGGGGACUGAUUAUGUUCCAGGGUAGCUGGAGGCUGCCUGGACUUCUGACCAGCCUGCUCCAACCUGGGGAGAGUGAUUAACCUGCCAUAUGCCACAGCCUGGAAAAAAAUGGCAGAGGAUUUGGCAGUGGACCAAAUCAUAAGAAGAUGCACCUGCAGAUUGCUUUGCGCCUUUCCUGAGGAUUCCUGUAUCACUGAAGAAGUACAACCCUUGUUAGAUUUCUGAUACUUGCUGAGCGUGUGUCUUCCCAGUUUCUUGAUAAUAACUCCAUCCUUCCAGAACACCCAGAAUUUUUCCAAGGCAAAAUUUAGGGGAAAAAUGAUCAAAGUAAUUAAUAGCAAAUACCAUCAUUGGAUAGUCAGUGAUCUUUGGUGAUGAUUUUUCCCAUUGAAGUAAAUCUUCUUGGUUCUAUCCUGCAUUGAUUUCAACAUAUCUCAGCUUUUAGUAAAGAAAUAUACAGAAAGGCUUGAGGCAAUAAAAUCAAUAAAGGUUAAAAAUAUACAAUAAUAAAUAGAAUGUUAAAAAGUUUGGUACCUACACUCAAGCCAAACAGUUGAGAAGAACUAAGAAAUUAUGAGAAAUUUCCACUUAUGAAUGCAAAUGAAAUGGGAUUUUGGGAUAAACAUCAAAGAAGAAAUCUAAGAACAUCUCUUCUGCAAAUUUAAUUGAUAAUAAAUAUUAUAAUUGCUUUAGGAGGUAAUUUAGAGGAUAUUGUUAAUUUGCUAAAUUAUCUGAUUAUUUGAUUGUGU
rnacentral:lncRNA from 1 species